rnacentral:rRNA from 1 species
UAUGUUCCUUUUUUUCCCUCCGCCGAGGUAAUACGUAGGUGGCAAGCGUUGUCCGGAAUUAUUGGGCGUAAAGCGCGCGCAGGCGGCUUCUUAAGUCCAUCUUAAAAGUGCGGGGCUUAACCCCGUGAUGGGAUGGAAACUGGGAGGCUGGAGUAUCGGAGAGGAAAGUGGAAUUCCUAGUGUAGCGGUGAAAUGCGUAGAGAUUAGGAAGAACACCGGUGGCGAAGGCGACUUUCUGGACGACAACUGACGCUGAGGCGCGAAAGCGUGGGGAGCAAACAGG